rnacentral:rRNA from 1 species
UGCGUAGGUGGUUUCUUAAGUCAGAAGUGAAAGGCUACGGCUCAACCGUAGUAAGCUUUUGAAACUGAGAAACUUGAGUGCAGGAGAGGAGAGUAGAAUUCCUAGUGUAGCGGUGAAAUGCGUAGAUAUUAGGAGGAAUACCAGUUGCGAAGGCGGCCCUCUGGACUGUAACUGACACUGAGGCACGAAAGCGUGGGGAGCAAACA